rnacentral:rRNA from 1 species
UGGAGGAAAGUAGGGGAUCGUAAGACCUUGCGCUUUUGGAGCGGCCGAUGUCUGAUUAGCUAGUUGGUGGGGUAAUGGCCUACCAAAGCUUCGAUCAGUAGCUGGUCUGAGAGGACGGCCAGCCACACUGGGACUGAGACACGGCCCAGACUCCUACGGGAGGCAGCAGUGGGGAAUUUUGGACAAUGGGCGCAAGCCUGAUCCAGCCACGCCGCGUGAGUGAAGAAGGCCUUCGGGUUGUAAAGCUCUUUCAGCCGGGAAGAAAAGACUGCGACUAAUAAUCGCAGUUCAUGACGGUACCGGAAGAAGAAGCACCGGCUAACUACGUGCCAGCAGCCGCGGUAAUACGUAGGGUGCGAGCGUUAAUCGGAAUUACUGGGCGUAAAGGGUGCGCAGGCGGUUUUGUAAGUCAGAUGUGAAAUCCCCGGGCUUA